GGACUACUGGGGUUUCUAAUCCUGUUUGCUCCCCACGCUUUCGUGCCUCAACGUCAGGAAUGGACCAAGAAGCUGCCUUCGCCAUCGGUGUUCCUCUCGAGAUCUACGCAUUUUACCGCUACUCCGAGAAUUCCACUUCUCUCUUCCAUCCUCAAGCUCACCAGUAUCUACUGCUUGCCCCUAGUUAGGCCAGGGAAUUUAACAGUUGACUUAGCGUGCCGUCUACGCACCCUUUACGCCCAAUAACUCCGAAUAACGCUUGCACCCCUCGUAUUACCGCGGCUGCUGGCAC
rnacentral:rRNA from 1 species